ensembl:lncRNA
GGAUCCACUUACUUCAGUCAUUCUGCUCCAGUGGAACUCUGGCCAGUGUAUGAAAAUAAAAGUUCCAGAACUGGACCCAACAGGGUGGAGCAAUGUGGGGAAGGAACCAUGGAGUGAUGAUUGGACAGAGUGCCUUAUCCCUCCAGCCCCUACUGAGGUUCUUGGGACAACAAUAAUGAUGAUCUGCUCAGAGCUGCCCACUGAGUUCUGCUGAAGAAAAGCUUCCUGGGUGUCCUAUGAAUGGACUUGCUCAGUUUGCAUCCAGCCACAGGAAUUAAGUUGUUUUGCAUCUAAGCUGUUCUGCUGAUCAUAUCUCAUUUUAUCUGCCAUUGUGCUCAUCUACCAUAGGGAUUCCAUCCUGCUGUUGUAGUGAGAAGGAAGUAGAAGUUACCUUAGAUGCCUUCAUACAACAGAAAACAAAAGAAAAAUAGAUUAUAAAUCUCAUAAAAAUUGAUGAUUCUGACAAAGUUUCCAGGAGUUUAAUCAUUCAGGGAAUAUCCAUAUAUCCCCUCAAAGUUAAAAGCAAUUUUGUCUUACCUUAUGCCCUGUCAUAAGGAAAGAGACACCACGAUUUCUAAGUCUUUUUGUAUUUGU